CUCAACUGGCCUACCUGGUUAAAUAAAGUUGUUCUCAACUAGCCUACCUGGUUAAAUAAAGGUGUUCUCAACUGGCCUCCCUGGUUAAAUAAAGGUGUUCUCAACUAGCCUACCUGGUUAAAUAAAGGUGUUCUCAACUAGCCUACCUGGUUAAAUAAAGGUGUUCUCAACUAGCCUACCUGGUUAAAUAAAGGUGUUCUCAACUAGCCUACCUGGUUAAAUAAAGGUGUUCUCAACUAGCCUACCUGGUUAAAUAAAGGUGUUCUCAACUGGCCUCCCUGGUUAAAUAAAGGUGUUCUCAACUGGCCUACCUGGUUAAAUAAAGGUGUUCUCAACUGGCCUACCUGGUUAAAUAAAGGUGUUCUCAACUGGCCUACCUGGUUAAAUAAAGGUGUUCUCAACUGGCCUCCCUGGUUAAAUAAAGGUGUUCUCAACUGGCCUACCUGGUUAAAUAAAGGUGUUCUCAACUGGCCUACCUGGUUAAAUAAAGGUGUUCUCAACUGGCCUACCUGGUUAAAUAAAGGUGUUCUCAACUAGCCUACCUGGUUAAAUAAAGGUGUUCUCAACUGGCCUCCCUGGUUAAAUAAAGGUGUUCUCAACUGGCCUACCUGGUUAAAUAAAGGUGUUCUCAACUGGCCUACCUGGUUAAAUAAAGGUGUUCUCAACUGGCCUCCCUGGUUAAAUAAAGGUGUUCUCAACUGGCCUACCUGGUUAAAUAAAGGUGUUCUCAACUGGCCUACCUGGUUAAAUAAAGGUGUUCUCAACUGGCCUCCCUGGUUAAAUAAAGGUGUUCUCAACUGGCCUCCCUGGUUAAAUAAAGGUGUUCUCAACUGGCCUACCUGGUUAAAUAAAGGUGUUCUCAACUGGCCUCCCUGGUUAAAUAAAGGUGUUCUCAACUGGCCUCCCUGGUUAAAUAAAGGUGUUCUCAACUGGCCUACCUGGUUAAAUAAAGGUGUUCUCAACUAGCCUACCUGGUUAAAUAAAGGUGUUCUCAA